rnacentral:rRNA from 1 species
UACGUAGGGUGCAAGCGUUGUCCGGAAUUAUUGGGCGUAAAGAGCGUGUAGGCGGCCCGAUUAGUCCGGUGUGAAAGUCAGAGGCUCAACCUUUGAAUGCCGCUGGAAACUGUCUGGCUUGAGUCCGGAAGGGGCGAGUGGAAUUCCUGGUGUAGCGGUGAAAUGCGCAGAUAUCAGGAGGAACACCAAUGGCGAAGGCAGCUCGCUGGAACGGUACUGACGCUGAGGCGCGAAAGCGUGGGGAGCAAACAGG